rnacentral:rRNA from 1 species
AUUGAACGCUGGCGGCAGGCCUAACACAUGCAAGUCGAACGGAGCGGCGGACGGGUGAGGACUGCCUAGGAAGCAGCCCGUUGGUGGGGGAUAACGUCCGGAAAGGGGCCCUAAUACCACAUACUAUCAGGGAAGCCUAGGUCGGAUUAGCUAGUUGGUGGGGUAAAGGCCUACCAAGGCGACGAUCCGUAACUGGUCUGAGAGGAUGAUCAGUCACACUGGAACUGAGACACGGCCCAGACUCCUACGGGAGGCAGCAGUUGGGAAUAUUGGACAAGGGGCGAAAGCCUGAUCCAGCCACGCCGCGUGUGUGAAGAAGGUCUUCGGAUUGUAAAGCACUUUUGUUUGGGAGGCGUUACCAACAGAAUAAGCACCGGCUAACUACGUGCCAGCAGCCGCGGUAAUAC